GAUGAACGCUAGCUACAGGCUUAACACAUGCAAGUCGAGGGGUAACGAGAGGAAAGCUUGCUUUCCUUGUCGACGACCGACGCACGGGUGAGUAACGCGUAUCCAACCUGCCCCCAACUAAGGAAUAACCUUGCGAAAGUAAGACUAAUACCUUAUAAUUUCCUCAGAUGUCAUCUGACGAGGAAUAAAGAUUUAUCGGUUGUGGAUGGGGAUGCGUCUGAUUAGCUUGUUGGCGGGGUAACGGCCCACCAAGGCAACGAUCAGUAGGGGUUCUGAGAGGAAGGUCCCCCACAUUGGAACUGAGACACGGUCCAAACCCCUACGGGAGGCAGCAGUGAGGAAUAUUGGUCAAUGGGCGGAAGCCUGAACCAGCCAAGUAGCGUGCAGGAUGACGGCCCUAUGGGUUGUAAACUGCUUUUAUACAGGAAUAAAGUUAGCCACGUGUGGUUAUUUGUAGGUACUGUAUGAAUAAGGACCGGCUAAUCCCGUGCCAGCCGCCGCAGUAA
rnacentral:rRNA from 1 species